AUGCUCCAGGUUGCAAUGAAGUCAACCGAUUAUGCAUUUGACGAUGCCCUGGUCAAAUCAUUAACUAGGGAACUACUAACUAAAUGCAAUGAGGCUAGCUCUGCACCUCCCUCCAUGACCCAGUUGUCAUCACACAAUGUACUUGGCAGUGACGAGGUAGGUAAUUCUGGGCUUCCAACAACUGGUAGAAAGGAAAAGAAGAGAGGAAGAUUCAGCGCUCUCUGUGGACUCAACCCAAAGAAGGUCAACAAGAAGAACCACUGCACUCCAACACCUUCCUAGAACCAGACCCCUGCCGUCAGUGAAACAGCAAUUGUCAAUGAUCAAGAAUCCUGCCGAACAGAGAGUGUAUGCUCCACCAAGAAGAAACCAAGGAAGCGUUCACUCAUUUCCAGGAUGUUUUCAGCUAUAGGCAAAGCCUUGUCCAGUCCCUUUACUUCCUGCUAUAAAAAGAAGAGCACCUAAUCUAUAUUUCAAAAUAAAUAUUUGAAAUGAAGAUAAUUGCAUUAA